AGAAGGUGAAAGCCCUGUAGGCGAAAAGCAAAUGGCUCCCUUGUCAGACACCCAAGUACUGCGGGACACGAGAAAUCUUGCAGGAACCCGGGAGGACCACCUCCCAAGACUAAAUACUCUCUAGCGACCGAUAGUGAACCAGUACCGUGAGGGAAAGGUGAAAAGUACUCCUGGCGGAGAGUGAAAUAGAACCUGAAACCGUGUGCUUACAAGCUGUCGGAGCCGACCCGGGAUCUUCGGAUCCCGGUAUAGGUGACGGCGUGCCUUUUGCAUAAUGAUCCGGCGAGUUUUUUUGUGCUGCAAGGUUAAGCAGUUAAGCUGCGUAGCCGUAGCGAAAGCAAGUCCUAACUGGGCGGUUAGUAGCAUGGAGAAUAACCCGAAACCCAGUGAUCUACCCAUGGCCAGGUUGAAGCGUACCUAACCGUACGUGGAGGACCGAACCCACUGAAGUUGAAAAUUCAGGGGAUGAGCUGUGGGUAGGGGUGAAAGGCCAAUCAAACUGGGAGAUAGCUGGUUCUCUUCGAAAUAGCUUUAGGGCUAGCCUCGGGAUAUAUGUAGCGGAGGUAGAGCACUGAUUGGGCUAGGGCCCCCACCAGGGUACCAACCCCAGUCAAACUCCGAAUGCCGUAUACAAGGACCCCGGGAGUCAGGGCGCGUGCGAUAAGGUUCGUGUCCGAGAGGGAAACAACCCAGAUCGCCGGCUAAGGCCCCCAAGUUCAGACUAAGUGGUUGAAAGGAUGUGGAAUUGCACAGACAACUAGGAUGUUGGCUUAGAAGCAGCCAUCAUUUAAAGAGUGCGUAACUGCUCACUAGUCAAGUGAUCCUGCGCCGAAAAUUAUCGGGACUCAAGUCUGACGCCGAAGCCGCGAACUCAAAUCUUCGGAUUUGAGUGGUAGGAGAGCGUUCUGUUCUGAUUGAAGGUGACCUGUAAGGGUUGCUGGACGGGACAGAAGUGAGAAUGCCGGAACGAGUAGCGAGAAAACGGGCGAGAAACCCGUUCACCGAAAGCCUAAGGUUUCCUGAGGAAGGUUAAUCCGCUCAGGGUUAGUCGGACCCUUAGCCGAGGCCGAAAGGCGUAGGCGAUGGAAAACAGGCGAAUAUUCCUGUACCGCUGAUUAAGCGUUUGACCUAUGGGGUGACGCAGAAGUGAAAGGCCAGCCGGCGAUCGGAAGUGCCGGUCUAAGCGCGUAGGGAGUUCUUCCAGGCAAAUCCGGAGGAACAUUAAUCCCGAGACGUUAUGGGGAGAGCAUUAGCUCAUAAACUGGCCCUAAUCAUGCUGCCAAGAAAUAGCCUCUAUGGGAGUUUAGUCAGCGACCGUACCGCAAACGGACACACGUAGGCGGGGUGAGUAUCCUAAGGUGCUCGAGUGAUUCUUCGCGAAGGAACUCGGCAAAUUGGCUCCGUAACUUCGGGAUAAGGAGCGCCCCUCUGGGAAAAGGACUUCGCGUCCGGAUUUCGGAGGGGCCGCAGAGAAAUGGCCCUCGCGACUGUUUACUAAAAACACAGGUCUCUGCUAAGCCGCUAAGGCGAUGUAUAGGGACUGACACCUGCCCGGUGCCGGAAGCUUAAGAGGCGGGGUUAGCACGGCUUGACUGUGCGAAGCUCUAAAUCGAAGCCCCGGUAAACGGCGGCCGUAACUAUAACGGUCCUAAGGUAGCGAAAUUCCUUGUCGGGUAAGUUCCGACCUGCACGAAUGGUGUAACGACUAGGGCACUGUCUCCGCGAAGAGCUCGGCGAAACUGUAGUAGCGGUGAAGAUGCCGUUUACCCGCGACUGGACAGAAAGACCCUGUGCACCUUUACUGUAACCUGGCAUUGGCAUUUGGCUAUUCAUGUGUAGGAUAGGUGGGAGGCUUUGAAGCGUCGUCGCUAGUCGGCGUGGAGCCAUCCUUGAAAUACCACCCUUGAAUCGUUGGGUGUCUAACCAUAGGCCUUGAAUCAGGUCUUGGAACAGUGUCAGGCGGGCAGUUUGACUGGGGCGGUCGCCUCCCAAAAUGUAACGGAGGCGCGCAAAGGUUCCCUCAGGCUGGUUGGUAAUCAGCCGUCGAGUGUAAAGGCAGAAGGGAGCUUGACUGCGAGACUUACAAGUCGAGCAGGUGCGAAAGCAGGCCUUAGUGAUCCGGCGGUUCUGUGUGGAAAGGCCGUCGCUCAUCGGAUAAAAGGUACGCCAGGGAUAACAGGCUGAUCCCCCCCGAGAGUCCAUAUCGACGGGGGGGUUUGGCACCUCGAUGUCGGCUCAUCGCAUCCUGGGGCUGGAGAAGGUCCCAAGGGUCCGGCUGUUCGCCGGUUAAAGCGGUACGCGAGCUGGGUUUAGAACGUCGUGAGACAGUUCGGUCCCUAUCCGUCGUGGGCGCAGGAUGUUUGAGAGGAGCUGUUCCUAGUACGAGAGGACCGGAACGGACGAACCUCUGGUGUACGAGUUAUCGUGCCAACGGUAGCGCUCGGUAGCUAUGUUCGGAUCGGAUAACCGCUGAAAGCAUCUAAGCGGGAAGCCGACCUCAAGAUAAGACAUCCCAUACCACAAGGUAUCUGAAGGCCCCUUGAAGACCACGAGGUUGAUAGGCGGAAGGUGUAAGCGUGGCAACACGUUCAGCCGAUCCGUACUAAUAGGCCGUGUGGCUUGACCGUAU
rnacentral:rRNA from 1 species